rnacentral:rRNA from 1 species
UACGAAGGGGGGCUAGCGUUGUUCGGAUUUACUGGGCGUAAAGCGCACGUAGGCGGCUUUGUAAGUUAGAGGUGAAAGCCCGGGGCUCAACUCCGGAAUUGCCUUUAAGACUGCAUCGCUAGAAUUGUGGAGAGGUGAGUGGAAUGCCGAGUGUAGAGGUGAAAUUCGUAGAUAUUCGGCGGAACACCAGUGGCGAAGGCGACUCACUGGCCCGAUACUGACGCUGAGGCGCGAAAGCGUGGGGAGCAAACGGG